UCGUCAUUGCCUUUUUCUUUUACUUCUCUGAAUUCUGCCUUACACAAACAGUUUAGCAUUCUGAUCAGAAAUAUAUCUCCUUUUCUUUACCUCAAGAAUUGUUCAAUGGAAAUACUUAUUAAUGUUGUAGGUGGCUUUGUUGUUGAGGUGGGAAAGUUUGUAUCGAAAUGCAUCUAUCCUAAGAUCGAAAAUAUUGUUUGUUUCUCAUCAAAUGUUGAAAAUUUAAGGGACGAAAUGGAGAAGCUAACAAAGUUAAGAGAUGAUAUCAAAGGAAAGGUGGAAAUAGCUGAAGGAGAAGGCAAUAAACCAAAACCAGAUGUUAUCAAGUGGAUCGAGGAUGUUCGCGAGCUGGAGAAUGAAUGGGAAACUAUGCAAGAAAGCAUCGCAACAGCGAAGAUGCUUACAUAUAAAUGUUGUCCAAAUUGCAGCCUUCGCUCGGAAGUCUCCACUCAAGCACGGAACAUCCGAGAUCAACUUUGCAAGCUUACAGAGGUUGGAGAAAGCUUUGGAUCAAAUUUGGUGGUAGAAAAUUACCAGAUGAAAAAAGUUGAGUUCAUCCCGGGACCAUCAGUAAAAGGUCAGUCAACAGCAACAAGGAAUAUCAACAAAAUCCUGCAACUAUUAGAAGAUGAUAAGGUUUGCAUCAUAGGAGUGUGGGGUACGGGAGGAGUUGGGAAGACUACUCUGGUGAAGAAUCUGAACAACGAACUUCGAAAGAUUGAUGUGUCAAGGUCUAAAUUGUCUUUUGGUAUUGUGGUAUGGGUUACAGUGCCCAAACCAAUGGACAUAAGUAAGGUUCAAGCAAAAAUUGCCAAAAGAUUAAACCUGGAGGUAGAAGACAACGGAAGUGAAGAAAGCAAUGCCAGCAAAAUCUUCCAAAAGCUAAAGGAAAAAAAGAGUUUCCUUCUCAUACUUGAUGAUGUUUGGGAAGAUAUAGAUUUGGAUCAUGUUGGUGUGCCCCAACCUGAAGAUCACGCAGGAAGCAAGGUCAUUAUAACUUCUCGUUUCUUGGGUGUUUGUAAGCAAAUGAAAACACACACUGAACUGAAUAUUUCCACAUUGGAUGAGGAUGAAUCUUGGCAACUGUUUAUCAAAAAUACGGGAGAUGUUGCCAAUCUGGAGCAUAUUCAACCAUUAGCAAAGGAAAUUGCACGAGCGUGUGGUGGUUUACCUUUAGCAAUCACUGUUGUUGGAACAUCUAUGAGAGGGAAGCCAAGGGUCGAGCUCUGGGAAGAUGCUAUGAAAUCACUAAGAAUGUCCGAACCUCAUAACAAAGAUGUAGAAAAAAAGGUUUACAAGGUCAUCAAGUGGAGUUUUGAUUCUUUAGAAUCUCAGGAUAUUGAAUUAUCCUCAAAGCAAAGAAGCACACAUGUGAACCAAAAGAGAGGUGACAUUCAAAGUUGUUUUUUAUAUUGCUCCUUAUAUCCGGCAGCUAUUUCAAUAGAUGAUCUUAUACAUUGCUGGUGGGCAGAGGGGUUCCUUGGUGAACAUGACACAUAUAGAGAAGCCUAUAACAGGGGAAUCACAACGAUUGAAAGUCUAAAAGAUGCCUGCUUGCUAGAAGCCCAUAAGAUGGAUUGUGUGAAGAUGCAUGAUGUGGUUCGUGAUGUUGCUAUAUGGAUAGAUAAUUCCUUUGGGUUAACUAAGAUAUCACAUUCUAAAGUAUCAGCUUCUGUUAAGAGAAUAUCUUUCGUAAGCAACAAAAUUGAACGUCUACCUGAUUGCUUCACAGAAUGCCCAGAGACAACAUCAUUACUAUUGCAAAAGAAUCCCCUUGAGAAAAUUCAAGAUGAACUUUUUUUGGCUUUUCCAUCCCUAAGAGUUCUGAACCUGAGUGGAACUAGUAUUAGUUCUUUGCCUUCUUCCAUCAAUAGUUUAUAUCAGCUACAUGCUCUAAUACUACAAAAUUGUUGUUCGUUGAGAGAGUUACCACCUAUUGGUAAUCUUUGCAAUUUGCAAUUGCUCGAUUGUGAUGAUAUAAAGUUAUGUUGUCUGCCGCACGGAAUGGACAAGUUGACAAAUCUAAGGCUAUUAAAUCUGCCUGUAGGUGAUUUGAAGGAGAGCAUUGGCCAAGGAUUUUUCCUCAAAAUGCCUAGGAUUGAAAUGUUAAAGAUGCUGCAUAGUAAAAUUGGUGACCUUUAUUGUUGGACCACGGGAAAUAUUCGGCCAAGGACUGUUCUUGGACCAACUUCUUUUGAUGAGAUAUCAUCUCUACACAAUGUGACAUCUCUUUUUAUUAGAUUGGAUAGCUUAUCAAUUUUCAAUCGAGAUCAUACCUGGAUGAAAAGAUUGAAAAGAUUUCACAUUGAAAUUGGGAAUACUCCAACUCAUGUACCAUUCAACAAGUCAACAAGGAUGAUAAGUGUCUCCAAGUGUGAAAUUUUCAGUAACGGAGAGCUCUCAAGCAUGUUGCAGUUUGCUUCACAUUUGCACUUGGAAAAAUGCAUGGGUCUCAUGAAGUUGAUUGCAAACAAGAGUUUUGAUGGAUUAAAAUCACUCUACAUUCACGAAUGUAGUUGUGAUUUCGGACCAUCAGAAGAAGGAAGUGGACAGUUUGAUCCUCUGCCAAAUCUGGAACAUCUCAGCCUCGCUUCUGUAGAUCAUUUAAAGAGUGUUUCUGAUUUCGGUCAACUUCUGGGUCUUAGAUUUUCUGAAUUACGCCAACUGGAUAUAUCCUAUUGUCGUAAUUUAACAUGUCUUUUUAAUGUUGGUGGUGCUUUUUCUGUACCCAAGCACUUGGAAGAAAUUACAGUUAACCAUUGUAAACAGGUGGUAGAGUUGUUAGUACAAUGCGGCUCUAGUCAGAGGGCACUCGACAACUCAGAAAUUCCAAAAGUUCGGAAGUUAGUGCUGAGAGACUUACCAAAAUUGGGAACGUUGGGGGAGCCACAGAGUAUGUGGGAACACAUGGAUGAACUUGAGGUGAUCAAUUGCUAUGAAAUAAAGAAGUUGCCUCUCUCUAUUCAAACCUCCAACAAAAUCAAAGUAAUAAGAGGAUCACCGAGAUGGUGGAGCCUAUUGGAGUGGGAUGACGAUAAAUUCAACUCAAAUUUAGAGCAUUGGUUACUACCAGUCUGAUCAGAGUUGACAUUACUUUCACUACAUCUCAGGAAACUAAAAAGGCAGAGGAAGGAACUUCUUGCACCAGAGAGACAGAAUUUCGAGCUAAAGUUGAUCGGUCGAGUUUGCUGUGAUGUGUUAUUAUUCAGGAGUUUCGAGCAGAGGACGGAUAUUUUCGAGCUAAAGUUAUUCGGUAGAGUGUGCUGUCAGAUGUUUUUUAUGCCAAUAACUGUUCCUUUUUUGUACUAUUUUUGCUUUCUGGUUCUGAUAUUUUGAUUGCUUGACUAGCUAUACACCGAGUCAUUUCUUGUUCCGGUUGUGUUGUGUGAUCAUCUUGUUAAUUUGUAAUGAAUUGGUGCUGCUUCUAUGUUUAAACAUUAGA